rnacentral:rRNA from 1 species
GACGAACGCUGGCGGCGUGCUUAACACAUGCAAGUCGAACGGAAAGGCCCUGCUUUUGUGGGGUGCUCGAGUGGCGAACGGGUGAGUAACACGUGAGUAACCUGCCCUUGACUUUGGGAUAACUUCAGGAAACUGGGGCUAAUACCGGAUAGGAGCUCCUGCUGCAUGGUGGGGGUUGGAAAGUUUCGGCGGUUGGGGAUCGACUCGCGGCUUAUCAGCUUGUUGGUGGGGUAGUGGCUUACCAAGGCUUUGACGGGUAGCCGGCCUGAGAGGGUGACCGGCCACAUUGGGACUGAGAUACGGCCCAGACUCCUACGGGAGGCAGCAGUGGGGAAUAUUGCACAAUGGGCGGAAGCCUGAUGCAGCAACGCCGCGUGCGGGAUGACGGCCUUCGAGUUGUAAACCGCUUUCGCCUGUGACGAAGCGUGAGUGACGGUAAUGGGUAAAGAAGCACCGGCUAACUACGUG